rnacentral:misc_RNA from 1 species
UUUUUUCUUCUUUCUUCUCAAAAGAAGAGCCAAACCAACACAAAAAAUCCCUAAUAAAAAAAUUGGGGGUUCAAAGUUCAAACCCUAAUUGAGCAAAAGUUUUGGAUUCUUCUUUCUUAUUCCAAGGCUUUCCGCUAUCUGUGUCUGCCACAAUGCUUCAAAUAUAUAGCCAAAUGCUCAGAGUCUCCAUUCCCAGCUUGAAGGUUCUACCUUUGUCUUCUGGGAUGGACUAAACUACGCUUGAUCUUGGGUUUGCUGCCUGUCCCCACAAUGUGAAUCAAGGCCUCCAUGGGUAGCUUUUUGAGAAUUUCAACAGUAUCUUCUAUGCAGUGUCCAAUCUAACCAGCAAAGCAAAGAUAACUUUCAUUUCAGCAAAGGAGAUUCAGGUCAUUUCCCAAAGAAAAGUUCCCUCCACAGCAUCCCACAAAGGAAAGAAAAGGCAAAGAAUAAGAACUAAAGAAUCAAAUUUAAGUACAAGUUAGACGACUCCUAGGCCUCAUUAUCACUAAUGGAUGCUCUUAAAGCCUUGGUUCUAUACUUGAUCAUGUUGCAUACAUGCAAGAUCACUGCCACUAAUGCCACUGAUGAGGAAUGGAAGACGGCUACUGCAACUUACACCAAAGAUAAAGAAGGGUCAAUCACUAUAGGUAAUUUUUCUCACUACUGGUCCUAGUAUAUGGGUACAUCUUCCACUGUUUCAAGUCAUAAUGGGGCUUCAUGUUCUACACAUCUCAGUUUUAAUUGGGAAUGAGGAAAAAAAUAUAUGGUUGAUUUCAGCUAGGAUGGGAUAAUGACUCAGUUAAGCUGAGUUGAGUUGAAUAUUUUCAGUUUUUGCAAGUGUGUAAAUGGCAUCUUUGGUGUUGCAGAAGGAGCUUGUGGGUAUGGUGAUCUUCACAGAGCCACCUAUGGUAAGUACAGUGCUGGAUUGAGUAGCAUGUUGUUCAACAAAGGGAGUACCUGUGGAGCUUGCUUCGAGGUCAGGUGUGUAAAUCACAUCCUAUGGUGCCUGCGAGGUAGCCCCUCUAUCAUUCUCACUGCCACAGAUUUCUGUCCUCCAAAUUACGGGCUUUCAGCAGAUUAUGGUGGCUGGUGCAAUUUCCCCAAAGAACAUUUUGAGAUGUCAGAGGCAGCAUUCACUGAAAUUGCUGAAAGAAAAGCCGAUAUUAUUCCAGUUCAGUACAGGAGGUAUAAUGAAUGCAAUUACAAAUAAUUUGCAAAAGAGUUACAGUUAACGCCCUACAUAAGCAAACACUACUAUGCCAAUUUUGUGCAGGGUGAAGUGUGAGAGGAAGGGUGGGCUGAGAUUCACAGCGAGUGGCAGUUUUCACUUCUAUCAGGUCCUCAUUACCAAUGUAGGAUUAGAUGGUGAAGUGGUUGCAGUGAAAGUGAAGGGAUCAAGAACAGGAUGGAUACCUAUGGCAAGAAACUGGGGACAGAACUGGCAAUCGAAUGUCAACCUUACAGGACAGCCUCUUUCUUUUGAAGUCACUACUAGCAGCGGAAGAACACUCACAUCUUACAAUGUUGCACCAGCAAACUGGCAAUUUGAUCAAACAUUCCAGGGCAAACAAUUCUAGCAUGAAAGACUUUCAAGUUCCAGUAUAAUAUGUGACGAGCAACUUGAAACUUUGAGGCCUUGCUGAAGGGAUUAGCAGUAUUUUCUCCAUCUAUAUGUUUCACACAACCAUUAUACAUGUCACUCAUUUUCCUUCUAUCCAUAAAAGCCAGUCCUUGGUCAAAAAGGGUGAGAAAGCUGUAGAGAAAAGUUGAGAAGGAAUAGAAACACAGGUCGCAGUUUUGUCUCCUUACGACACUUUAUUUAUUAGAAAGUUAAUCACUGACGAAAUGUGUAAUUAUUAAAAAGUUGGGGAAUCUACUCCAACUCCAAAGCUCCCCCUCCCCCAAAACAACCGCCAAACAACCACCCAACCCCCAGCAAUG